rnacentral:rRNA from 1 species
UACAGAGGUGGCAAGCGUUGUUCGGAAUUACUGGGCGUAAAGGGCGCGUAGGCGGCCUUCUAAGUCAGACGUGAAAUCCCCCGGCUUAACCUGGGAACUGCGUCUGAUACUGGGAGGCUAGAGUAUGGGAGAGGGAUGUAGAAUUCCAGGUGUAGCGGUGAAAUGCGUAGAUAUCUGGAGGAAUACCGGUGGCGAAGGCGGCAUCCUGGACCAUUACUGACGCUGAGGCGCGAAAGCUAGGGGAGCAAACAGGG